rnacentral:rRNA from 1 species
UUGGGAAUCUUGCACAAUGGGGGAAACCCUGAUGCAGCGACGCCGCGUGGAGGAUGACGGCCCUAGGGUUGUAAACUCCUUUUUCAGGGAAAGACUUAGGACGGUACCCUGAGAAUAAGCUCCGGCUAACUACGUGCCAGCAGCCGCGGUAAGACGUAGGGAGCAAGCGUUGUCCGGAUUUACUGGGCGUAAAGAGCACGUAGGCGGCUUGUUAAGUGAGAGGUGAAAUCCCCAGCGCUCAACGCGGGAACUGCCUCUCAUACUGGCAGGCUUGAGGGAUGUAGAGGUGACUAGAAUUCCAGGUGUAGCGGUGACAUGCAUUGAUAUCUGGAGGAAUACCCGAGGCGAAGGCGGGUCACUGGACAUUUCCUGACGCUGAGGUGCGAAAGCGUGGGUAGCA